CCAAGAGAAAGAGCUCAAAGAACUAGCCAAGAGCUGACCCCAAACUGAGAGAAUAAGGGCAACAAAGCCCGACUCUCGCCAAAAAUACUUAAUAAAUUGUAUAUGCUCCUGUAAGUUUGAAUUUGAAUACGCCUAAAGAUUUCCUCUGGAUGCUCAAUCUUGCCCUCGAAAUUUCUCUUGUUUCUUGCCCCCAGAUAAGGUAGAUCGUGCAUGCGAGUGCAAUUUUCUUAAUUUUGGAUGGGAAACCGGUGCCCCAAGCUUUCUUGAUCAUCCAUUUUACAACUGCCUUUAUAGUUUGCAUAGUACGAGAAAUACCCAGCCAACCCUUGAUCUUGGACCAGAUUUGACUCCCUAUUUGGCAUUGGAAGAAUAGAUGAUCAACAGACUCUAUCUCAGUUCGGCAUAGAGGGCAUGAUUGAUCUUCAAUGAGACCUUGCAGCUUGUCCUUGGUCAGAAGGCGGACUUUAAGGCCCAGCCAAAGGAUGAAUGAUUGUCUGGGGGGAUGGAAUUAUGCCAAACCAACUUUGGCCACGGGAGUUUAGGAUUUUUCGGUUUGAAA
rnacentral:lncRNA from 1 species